UACGUAGGGUGCAAGCGUUGUCCGGAAUUAUUGGGCGUAAAGAGCUCGUAGGCGGUUCGUCGCGUCGGCUGUGAAAACCCGGAGCUCAACUCCGGGCCUGCAGUCGAUACGGGCGGACUUGAGUGUUGCAGGGGAGACUGGAAUUCCUGGUGUAGCGGUGAAAUGCGCAGAUAUCAGGAGGAACACCGGUGGCGAAGGCGGGUCUCUGGGCCACUACUGACGCUGAGAAGCGAAAGCAUGGGGAGCGAACAGG
rnacentral:rRNA from 1 species